AGUGAGGAAGUGGGGAUGACGUCAAAUCAGCAGGCCCUUACGUCCAGGGCUACACACGUGCUACAAUGGCCGGCACAACGGGAAGCGAGUUCGCGAGGACGAGCGGAUCCCUCAAAGCCGGUCGCAGUUCGGAUUGAAGUCUGCAACUCGACUUCAUGAAGCUGGAAUCGCUAGUAAUCGUGGAUCAGCCAAGCCGCGGUGAAUACGUUCCCGGGCCUU
rnacentral:rRNA from 1 species